CAUCUUAGUACUUUUUCAGUAGAUCAUGAAGCAGUUUAUUUAAUAUUAUUUGGAUAACAAGCCUUCACAUGAAUGGGAUUCGAAUGUCAGUUGUCUUAGGGGAAAAAAGAUUUAUUGGUUGGUAAAUAUUGAGAAAGAAAAGCCUCAAUAAAGACCAGUUUCAGCUGUGGCCUCUGCUGGGAAUCGGAGAACAGGCCUGUGUUGUAUUUUAGGGCCCUGGGAAGGCAAAAACUGGUGAAUGUCUUUCUUUGUUGGUGGGUGUAAAAGUGGAACCCACCACAAAUAAUUUCUUAUUUCUGUUCACAUAGAUUUUAGAUUAUGUAGCUCCCCUACCUUGUUAAGUAUUAAAGCGGUCUUGUUUAAGGAAAAGCCACUUAAAUAAUGAAGCUUAUGUAUCUUGUUUUCAGACAUCAAUAUCUGGCUUUGAGUGGCACAAAGAGAUAAAGGAAUGUGGAUUCAU
rnacentral:sRNA from 1 species